rnacentral:rRNA from 1 species
GACGGAGGAUGCAAGUGUUAUCCGGAAUCACUGGGCGUAAAGCGUUGUAGGUGGUUCAAUAAGUCAACUGUUAAAUCUUGAGGCUCAACUUCAAAAUCGCAGUCGAAACUAUUGGACUCGAGUAUAGUAGGGGUAAAGGGAAUUUCCAGUGGAGCGGUGAAAUGCGUAGAGAUUGGAAAGAACACCAAUGGCGAAAGCACUUUACUGGGCUAUUACUGACACUGAGAGACGAAAGCUAGGGUAGCAAAUGGG